UGCCUUCCUCACGCGCCAUACCUCACCCCGCCCUCGCUUCCUCGCAUGCCGCCGUUCUUCGCUUGGGCGCCGUUGCAACCGCGCCGACUCCUUCACCGUCACUGUCAUGCGCCAUGGUCGUCCUCGCGCGCCGCAGCUGACCUGGCUUGGCCCCAGGAUCACCGCUUCCUCACCGUCGUCGUCGCCAUGUGUCAUGGUCGUCCUCGCACGCCGCGACUGACCUGGCCUGACCCUAGGAUCGUAGCAUCAAGGAAGAGUGGAAGAGGCAAGAUGAAGUCAGCGUUGGCAAGCAACCUCUGAAUGACAAGUUCAAGGUGGACUCCAAAGUGGAUGUUAGGAUCAUGAUGGAGGAAAUGCAACAGCUGAUCUUUCUGAGUGUAUCAUUAAACAAGCUAUCGAAGCUCCUUGCUGAGGAGUAUGCAUCCUUGAUCAUGGUGGAGCUCGAUCUGGAGAACUUCAAUUACAUAGAGGUUUUCCUAUUGGAUUGUUGACAUGGCCAUUUCAUUGCACUGCAAUCCUAACAUGGGACCUGACGGUGCUGCCUGAUGUGAAAUACGAGGAAGAGACUAUGGAUCCUACACAAGGGCAAGAAGAUGGGAUCCAGUGAGGAGGCAUUCCGUGCUAGCAAGCCAGGUCUAGAACUUCGUUCCUGGGAGAAUGUAUGAUUGCAGGUGAAGCAAAUGAGUGGCUCCAUGAACAUGCUAUCAAGAAUUGGGCUGCCCUUCAUCGAGACCUCUAUGCCAUGAGCAAUGACACCAUGAUCUUUGUGACUAUUAAUUUCAUGAAUUUUAUUUUUUAGAUUAAAUGUCACUUUAACGUUGAUAUUUAAUUUUAUGUUAUCAUUAUA